GGAGAGACAAAGACUGGGCAGAACUAAGCUCUUGUUUCUCUGCUGGAGCACUUCCUUGAGGUGGCAUGGAGGCAGAAUGAGGGUUUUGAUGCUGCACAAUGCAACUCUCAGGAAAUGAAAGGAGGGAAGCUCCCUGUUCCUCAGCAUGACACUCUGGACAUGGCAGUCCCAUCACAGGGAAGCCCGAGGACCUGUCCCUUCAUCCUGUGCCAGUUACUA